rnacentral:ncRNA from 1 species
UCAUCGGCAAUGAACAAGACUACUAGAUGAAAAAUGAUGAAAGAGAGUGAGGUCCACUGGCUGAAAGGCUUCACCAUCCACUUUUUCAUUGAACCUACCUUGUGAGCUUAUUGGUAAACCAAUACGUUUCCCGACGUUACCGGUUCAAGAUAAAUGUAGAAGUACAACUCUGCAUUUAAUAAAGGUGGUACCGCGAAUCAACCCUUCGUCCUUUUU